rnacentral:rRNA from 1 species
UACGAAAGGGGGCUAGCGUUGCUCGGAAUCACUGGGCGUAAAGGGCGCGUAGGCGGCGUUUUUAAGUCGGGGGGUGAAAGCCUGUGGCUCAACCACAGAAUGGCCUUCGAUACUGGGGACGCUUGAGUAUGGUAGAGGUUGGUGGAACUGCGAGUGUAGAGGUGAAAUUCGUAGAUAUUCGCAAGAACACCGGUGGCGAAGGCGGCUCUCUGGACCGAGACUGACGC